AGCGAACGCUGGCGGCAGGCCUUACACAUGCAAGUCGAACGGACCCUUCGGGGUUAGUGGCGGACGGGUGAGUAACACGUGGGAACGUGCCUUUAGGUUCGGAAUAGCUCCUGGAAACGGGUGGUAAUGCCGAAUGUGCCCUUUGGGGGAAAGAUUUAUCGCCUUUAGAGCGGCCCGCGUCUGAUUAGCUAGUUGGUGAGGUAAUGGCUCACCAAGGCGACGAUCAGUAGCUGGUCUGAGAGGAUGACCAGCCACAUUGGGACUGAGACACGGCCCAAACUCCUACGGGAGGCAGCAGUGGGGAAUCUUGCGCAAUGGGCGAAAGCCUGACGCAGCCAUGCCGCGUGGAUGAUGAAGGUCUUAGGAUUGUAAAAUCCUUUCACCGGUGAAGAUAAUGACUGUAGCCGGAGAAGAAGCCCCGGCUAACUUCGUGCCAGCCGCCGCGGUAAUAC
rnacentral:rRNA from 1 species